rnacentral:rRNA from 1 species
GGUGGAUUAGUGGCGAACGGGUGAGUAACACGUGGGCAAUCUGCCCUUCACUCUGGGACAAGCCCUGGAAACGGGGUCUAAUACCGGAUAACACUCUGUCCCGCAUGGGACGGGGUUAAAAGCUCCGGCGGUGAAGGAUGAGCCCGCGGCCUAUCAGCUUGUUGGUGGGGUAAUGGCCUACCAAGGCGACGACGGGUAGCCGGCCUGAGAGGGCGACCGGCCACACUGGGACUGAGACACGGCCCAGACUCCUACGGGAGGCAGCAGUGGGGAAUAUUGCACAAUGGGCGAAAGCCUGAUGCAGCGACGCCGCGUGAGGGAUGACGGCCUUCGGGUUGUAAACCUCUUUCAGCAGGGAAGAAGCGAAAGUGACGGUACCUGCAGAAGAAGCGCCGGCUAACUACGUGCCAGCAGCCGCGGUAAUACGUAGGGCGCAAGCGUUGUCCGGAAUUAUUGGGCGUAAAGAGCUCGUAGGCGGCUUG